rnacentral:rRNA from 1 species
AACGAACGCUGGCGGCAUGCCUAACACAUGCAAGUCGAACGAGAUCUUCGGAUCUAGUGGCGCACGGGUGCGUAACGCGUGGGAAUCUGCCCCUUGCUUCGGAAUAACAGUGAGAAAUUACUGCUAAUACCGGAUGAUGUCUUCGGACCAAAGAUUUAUCGGCAAGGGAUGAGCCCGCGUAGGAUUAGGUAGUUGGUGGGGUAAUGGCCUACCAAGCCGACGAUCCUUAGCUGGUCUGAGAGGAUGAUCAGCCACACUGGGACUGAGACACGGCCCAGACUCCUACGGGAGGAAGCAGUGGGGAAUAUGGGACAAUGGGCGAAAGCCUGAUCCAGCAUUGCCGCGUGAGUGAUGAAGGCCUUAGGUUUGUAAAGCUCUUUUACCAGGGAUGAUAAGGACAGGACCUGGAGAAUAAGCUCCGGCGAACUCCGU